rnacentral:tRNA from 1 species
GCUAACCUAGCUCAGUUGGUAAAGCAUCAGCCUGCAAUGCAGGAGACCAUGGUUCAAUACCUGGGUUGGGA